rnacentral:rRNA from 1 species
UACGUAGGGUGCAAGCGUUGUCCGGAUUCAUUGGGCGUAAAGGGUGCGUAGGCGGCGCGGUAAGUCGGGUGUGAAAUCUCGGAGCUUAACUCCGAAACUGCAUUCGAUACUGCCGUGCUUGAGGACUGGAGAGGAGACUGGAAUUUACGGUGUAGCGGUGAAAUGCGUAGAUAUCGUAAGGAAGACCAGUGGCGAAGGCGGGUCUCUGGACAGUUCCUGACACUGAG